rnacentral:rRNA from 1 species
GACGAACGCUGGCGGCGUGCUUAACACAUGCAAGUCGAACGGAAAGGCCCUGCUUUUGUGAGGUGCUCGAGUGGCGAACGGGUGAGUAACACGUGAGUAACCUGCCCUUGACUUUGGGAUAACUUCAGGAAACUGGGGCUAAUAUCGGAUAGGAGCUCCUGCUGCAUGGUGGGGGUUGGAAAGUUUCGGCGGUUGGGGAUGGACUCGCGGCUUAUCAGCUUGUUGGUGGGGUAGUGGCUUACCAAGGCUUUGACGGGUAGCCGGCCUGAGAGGGUGACCGGCCACAUUGGGACUGAGAUACGGCCCAGACUCCUACGGGAGGCAGCAGUGGGGAAUAUUGCACAAUGGGCGGAAGCCUGAUGCAGCAACGCCGCGUGCGGGAUGACGGCCUUCGGGUUGUAAACCGCUUUCGCCUGUGACGAAGCGUGAGUGACGGUAAUGGGUAAAGAAGCACCGGCUAACUACGUG